rnacentral:rRNA from 1 species
CCUACGGGAGGCUGCAGUCGGGAAUAUUGCUCAAUGGAGGGAACUCUGACGCAGUGACGCCGCGUGCAGGAAGACGGUUUUCCGAUUUUAAACUGCUUUAUACAGGGAAGAAAAGAGACAGUCCCUGUAGAAUAAGCUCCGGCUAACUACGUGCCGGCAGACUCGGUAAUACGGAGGGAGCGCGCUUUAUCCGGAUGUAUUGGGUGUAAAGGGUGCGUAGACGGAGAAGCAAGUGAGGUGUGAAAUCCCUGGGCUUAACUGAGGAAUUGCAGCUAAAACUACUUCGCUUGAGUACUAGUGAGGCAAGUGGAAUUCGUAGUGUAGCGGUGAAAUGCGUAGAGAUGAGGAGGAACCCCAGUGGCGAAGGCGACUUUCUGGAGAGGAACUGACGCUGAGGCUCGAAAGCGCGGGGAGCGAACAGGAUUAGAUACCCUGGUAGUC